AGGAAUGUUUAACCUCGUGAUUUUUAUUUCUUUUAUUUAUUGCAUAUUUAUAUUUAAUGACGCUGAUUUUUAAUGGUUUGCAAACUUUUCCUUACAUAUAAAAAGAACACAGACAUCCCUCGAAUCAGAUUCGAUCUCACUAGAGUUGAAUUGCGUUAAACAUGUUUUCUAAAGCUUUGUACGCUCUUGCCUUUGCUGCUGUCUUGAGUUUGGGUAAGUUGUUUUUUGUUGUUCUUGUUGUUUUUUGUUUAUCUUGCAAAAAAACAUUUAUUCGCUGCUUAUUCUUUUUUACCCCUGAAUGCUUUUAUCAGAUUUCAUAAAUCCUUAAAAUUGGAAAAAAAAUUCUAGUAAAAUAGAGGCGCAAUUAUUCAGAUUUGUAGACCAAUACAACAGUUCGAUAAAAAAAAUUAUAAUUUUUUUCUGUUACUUUUUUUAUUUAAAUCUGUUUCAUAAAAACAGAGUGGUUAUAAAAAAAUAUACUGAAAGAGUUCUUUAAAAUUGCAAUUAUUAGUAUUAACACUUUAAAAGUAAUAUUUCAUUCCUAUAUUUACUCUCGUUUUCGGUAUUUACCAGCAUUCGAAAAAAGGCAUUUUUGGCAUUAGGUAUCUCUAUCUAUCCGGCAGUCUGAAACAGAGAUAACUCACAAAUGCUUUGAGCUAGACUGGUGAAAUUUGGUAUAUUAUCUAUCAAAUUCUGUACGGAAUCCAUUCAAAAGAAGUAUGUCUCUAUGGUUCUUCGAAUAUAAUUGAGCUUUAUAACUUCAAAACGCAGGAAAUUAGGUAGAUAAAAUCUGGCACACAGUUCUGCCAUCUAAAAUGUAGAUUUUUAUCAUAUUUUCUACCAAAUCUGUCAAAGUUUCACCAGAUGCCGUUUCUCACGCUGCUUUCAUCAUACUUUCGCAGCAUGUAAACGUAAUAACUCAGGAAAACUAUGAUUUAAAGCAAUGAAAUUCGUUAUAUCUUGUGAUUGUAAUUGUAGUUUCUGUGUCAAAUUUCAGUUUCAAUCAUUUCGCAAAUAGGCUUCCAAACGAUAGGUUCAUCCUAUAGAUUUCAAUAAAAUGACUAGACUCAUGCUGUAGAUCUAUAAUUCAAAGCCAUUGUUUGUUAAUACCUAUCAAGACAUUCGCUGCAUUACAUAAUUUCCACAGUUAUAUACUGUGAAUGGGGAAUAAGACCUCCUUUGAACAAUAUGCAAGAAAGUUUCCGGGAGUUCAGUUCUUCUGUGGUUAAAACUUCUAUUCUUUAAUAAUUCUAAAAACAUAUAGUUUAAUUUUUUGAUUAAUUUUUAUUACUGAAACUCAAAAAUUAAUUAUGAUUUUUUUUCUAAUUACAGCUCUAGGUAAGGAUGAUUUUUUUUUUCAAAAUCGAGUUAUCUGUCAUAUUGAAUUAAUUAAUUGGUUUGAAACUGUGAUAAAUUUUUCUUGUGAUUUAUUAUUCUAUUUUAAUUUCCUAUAUAUUUCUUUAACUAUAUGAAAUUUAAUGAGAAAUAUACAGAUAUUAAUUUUAUUAUUUAAUUAUUUCAUAUUUUAAUUUAAUCAGCUGUAUGAUAUUUCAGAUAGUUUGCCAAUGUUUCUUAUAAUUUAGUCAUAUCCAAACAUUCUGGUAAAAUCCUUUUCUCAUAUAUGUGAUUAAAGCAGAAAGUUUUAAAUUUAACAAGUUUGGAAGAAAAGUUUUUCAGAGUUUUCAAAUUGAAUAUUUUCUCUAGAAUCUAUUUGUACAUACAUCGUGGCUUAUUUUUCUCAGAUUUAAUUUUGAAUAUAAAAUUCAUUUCUUAAUGUUAAUAUAAAGUUGCAUAGAACUGGACAGCAUGUUAUUGUGGUAGCUUAUAAAUAAAAACAGUUCACAGUUUCAUUUUAAAUGGCAAUUUUAAUAUCAUUAAAAAUACAGAUACAAUGAAGACAAUAAAAGAUGUAAUAUAACAAGAUUAUGAAAAUAAAUUUGCUUUCCAAUUCUUAUAUGUAUGCUUUUUUUUAUUUUUAGCCGAACGUAAGAAAUUAUUUCUUUUCUUAUUAUUAACUUAAAGAAUUUCUAAUACUGCUAAAAUUCUUAGAAACGUUUUAUUUUUUAUUUCCUUACUUAAGCAUAUGUUUUAUGUUUAUAAAAAUUAUUUUUUUUAUUUUCUAAUAUUUAUAUAUAUGCAUGCAUUUUUAUUUUUAGCUGAACGUAAGCAUUUGCUAUUCUUUUUUUUUUCUGCUUAUUUUAAUAUGAAUUGCUACAUGUCACAUGAUUUUUCUAAUCAAUAAAAUUUAACAUUAAUGGCAGAAAGUUAAGGAACGUUUAUUCCUAACAACAAAUAAAUAAAUAUUUUCAAUAUUAAAAAAAAUUACAUAUUAUUUUUACCAAAUUUUAAUAAAUAAUACUCUUAAAUAAAGGGGCUUGAGUUUAAAAAGAAAUUAUAACAAAUAAUAGUUUUAGAGUUUCCUCUAGACAAUAAUCUCAAUUUAAAUAGCAUUUAUAAAGUAUUUCUGUAUGGAUACACUCCAUUAAUUAAGCUCAUAAAGAUAUAAUUUCAAAAUAAAUUUUCAUUCCGAAUGUACUACAAUUUUGAAUUUUUUGUUCUCAUUAUACAGCCAACAACUAUACAUCAUUUUAAUAUUUUUAAAUUUAACUUACGUGUUAAUUAAACUUUAUUCCACAGAAAUGCCAUAAUUUUGAAAUAAAUUUGUGAAUAUUAAAUAAAGCUACGAAAAUUAGAGAAUAAUUAUUGAAAAUAUAUUUAUUUUUAAUAUAUUUGGAAAGUAUUUUUUGACAAUCUUUUUAAAACCGAGAUCUUUGAAUGAUAAGGAAACUUUUGACAUUUUGUAACAUUUAAACAUAUAUAAAUAUUCUAAAUGGUUUUUCUUUUUCUCUAUAACUUAUUAUAGCUGGCCAUGAUGGAAACAUCUUCAACGAUGCCGCUAGCGUUUUGGACAACUUCUUUGGAACCGGUUAGAAAGCCACUUUGAAAACGCAAUAUGAAAAAAAAUAUCUAGUUCAAAAACUCUAUCAAAUGUUCAAAAUUUUAUCAAAUGUAUCCAAAAUUAAUUGCACUUCUAUUAUCUGAAGUUGUGUACAUUAAAUAUUCUUAAUUAUAAGCAUAUUUAUAAAAUACAAUGUACCUGAUCUUUAAAAGAAUCUAAUAAAAAAGGAUCAUAUUUA